rnacentral:rRNA from 1 species
UACGGGAGGCAGCAGUGAGGAAUAUUGGUCAAUGGUCGGAAGACUGAACCAGCCAAGUAGCGUGCGGGAUGACGGCCCUAUGGGUUGUAAACCGCUUUUGCAGGGGAAUAAAGUCGCGGACGUGUCCGCGUUUGCAUGUACCCUGAGAAUAAGGACCGGCUAAUUCCGUGCCAGCAGCCGCGGUAAU